CCGCAGGCUGGGGAGACGCUAGUAGCUGAGGGGAACGGCGGCGCGCGGGCGGUUGGGCCAUCUCAGGCUUUCUGCCGAUCAACCUGUGCUUGGCGUCCUCAGAUGCUGCGAGCUGAAGGUAGUCAUGGCCGGGACUCCCGCACCGAACAGCCACAGGAAGCAGAGUGGCGGCCUGGAGCCUUUCCUCGGUCUGUCUCGGUCCAUCGAGAACCCUCCGAGCAAGCGGGCCCGGAGCUUCUCUGAGACCACAGUUCCGGACCCCGAAGACCCAUUCGGCGAGCACGCGGAAUUUACUGCGGACGACCUAGAGGAACUCGACAUCCUCGCGUCACAGGCCCUGAGCCAGUGUCCGGUCGCGCCUCCGAACCUGUCCUGUGCUCAUAAGGUCCGUCGAUUAGAUGGGUUACCAAAUAGUCCUGUAAGGAAAAACAGAGAAGAUAUUCCAGUUAAAGAUAACUUUGAAUUAGAAGUACUUCAGAUACAGUACAGAGAACUUAAAGAAAAGCUGAAAGCAAUGGAAGAAGAAAUCCUAAUUAAGAAUGGAGAAAUUAAAAUUUUGCGUGACUCACUGCAUCAGACAGAAUCCGUUCUAGAAGAACAGAAAAGAUCACAUUUUCUUCUUGAGCAAGAAAAGACUCAAGCACUCAGUGAAAAGGAAAAGGAAUUCUCCAAAAAGCUCCAAUCACUGCAGUCUGAACUCCAGUUUAAAGAUGCAGAAAUGAAUGAAUUAAGGACAAAGCUUCAGAGCAACGAACGAACAAAUAAACUAACCAUUCCGUCAGUCUCCCAAAUCAGUCCUAGGAAAGGCUCUUCUGUGGUUGUAAAGUCAGAAGCAUGUUCUCCACAUGUUGGAAAAACAACUUUCCCUACAAAGGAGUCUUUUAGUGCUAACACGCCUCUCUUCCACCCCUGUCAGACUGAGGCAGGACACAAAUUUCUGGUGGGCCAAGAGGUUUCGGAUAAUAAAGCCCAUGUGGGAGGUAACCUCCUGAAGCAAGACGUGCAGCAGAAAAUUCUCGCUGACAGCUGGGUACAGAGAAAAAACACUCAAGGUUCUAUCUUGAUAAACUUGCUCCUGAAGCAACCUUUGGUGCCAGGGUCAUCUCUAGGUCUUUGUCACCUUCUGAGCAGUGGAGCUGAGGUUCCCACUGGCCCCGUCUUGCAGCCAGCAGGGCUCAGUACUUUGCCUGGGACUUCAGGCCUCAGGACCGUCAGCUCUUCUGAUGGGCCAUUUUCCCCCUCUGCCUUGAGAGAAGCACAGAACUUGGCAUUCACUGGAUUAAAUCUGGUUGCCAGGAGUGAGAGCUCACAUGAUGGAGAUGUAGCAGGCAGAAGAGUCUUCCCGCUCUGCCAGCUUCCUGGAGCUGUACAUCUCCUCCCUCUUGUACAGUUCUUCAUUGGCUUACACUGCCAGCUUCUACAAGACUUAACCCCAGCUAAGAAGAGCGGGGCACCUGGGGCCUCUCCGACAGACACCUCCCACAUGAGCUCUGGGGUAGAGGCUAGCCCAGAGGACUCCAUUUGUAGCUUGGAAAGUACUUCUGUGGCUUCGCUCAGCGUCCUUCAGCACUUGGUGUGCCACAGUGGGGCAGUGGUCUGCCUGUUACUGUCAGGCAUGGGGACCAAUGCUGCUGCCCGGGAAGGAGACUUAAGUCAGACUUGUGCAGAUACAGUCUCAGCCUCCAGGGAAGACGCUCAUGGCCAAAACCAGCACCCACUAUUGAAGAUGCUUCUUCAGCUGAUGGCGUUCUCUUCUACAACAUCAGGUCAAUUUCAAGCCAGUGUCCUGAGCCAGUGCCUCAAAGUUUUGGUGAAGUUAGCUGAAAACGCUUCCUCUGAUUUGUUGCCCAGGUUCUCCUGCGUGUUCCCGAUGUUGCCACAGUGCCUCUGCUCAGAGCUGCCACUGUCGUGUGUGCUGCUGGCUGUCCAGCUGCUCUCUGUUCUGGUGGACCAGGACAGCCUAGCACAGCAGCUGUGCUCCCACUCAGAAGGCUGCCCUCUCCUGAGGCUGUACACGUACAUCACGUCAAGGCCUGACAAGACGGCCUCAGAGACACAGUGGCUUCAGCUGGAACAAGAGAUGCAAUACAAGUGCAUCCUGGGUUGCAGUGGUGCUCAGCAGAGUUGCCUGAUUAUGCUGCCUGGGUUUUGGGGCCUGAUCCUGGUCCUGGAAGCAGUGAGCUGUUGGUGAGAUUCAGGUCUGAGAGCCUGAGACUACCAUUACUUGUACCCCACUUGUGUAGGCAAGCAGUUGAAGUAGCUAGAGCACCUUAGGAAUGCCCGCAGAAGCCUAUGAUGACUGGGUUCCACACACGGUGAACACCAUGUCUUCUUGUUCCAGGUAGUGUGGCUCUUGGCCAAGCUGAGUGUGCAGAGCCCUUCCCCCGCUGGCAUUGUUUCUGACUGUCAGUGCAAUGUAGAGGCAGUCAGAGCACUCACUGUGAUGUUGCACAGGCAAUGGCUGACUGUGCGGCGGGCAGGGGGUCCAAGGACCCACCAGCAGAAGCAGACUGUCCGCUGUCUGCGGGACACUGUGCUGCUGCUGCACAGCCUAUCUCAGAAGGACAAGCUCUUUACUGUGCACUGUGUCGAGGUCCUGCAUCAGUAUGACCAGGUGAUGCCAGGGGUCAGCAUGCUGAUUCGAGCCCUUCCUGAUGUGACCGACUGUGAAGAGGCUGCCCUGGAUGACCUCUGUGCUGCAGAGACAGAUUUGGAAGACGCCGAGAUGGACUGUAGCUGAGGGCCUGAGCAUCCAGCCACAAGGUGGCACCAGCCCCACCGUCUUUGCCACAUCCACUGAUUAAAACUGCACUUCCUGCUGAGAACCGG